rnacentral:misc_RNA from 1 species
GUGAAUCAUCGAAUCUUUGAACGCACAUUGCGCCCGCCAGCAUUCUGGCGGGCAUGCCUGUUCGAGCGUCAUUUCAACCCUCAGGCCCUGCCUGGUGUUGGAGGACUGCGCACCGCAGCCUCCCAAAGCAAGCGGCGGCGGCGCCCCAUAACCGAACGCAGUAGUUACAUCUCGUUCUGGGUCUGGGUCGUUGUCCUGCCGGAAAACCCCCAUCUUUUUAAUGGUUGACCUCGAAUCAGGUAGGAAUACCCGCUGAACUUAAGCAUAUCAAUAAGCGGAGGA